rnacentral:rRNA from 1 species
UACGGAGGGCGCAAGCGUUGUUCGGAAUCACUGGGCGUAAAGCGCGUGUAGGCGGCUUGGCAAGUCGGGUGUGAAAUCCCGAGGCUCAACCUCGGAACUGCACUCGAAACUGCCUGGCUUGAGUCCCGGAGAGGGUGGCGGAAUUCCCGGUGUAGGGGUGAAAUGCGUAGAUAUCAGGAGGAACACCGGUGGUGAAGACGGCUCUCUGGACCGUUACUGACGC